UACCAGCACCCCAAGUGGUCGGGACGUUUAUUGGGCCUAAAGCAUCCGUAGCCGGUUCUACAAGUCUUCCGUUAAAUCCACCUGCUUAACAGAUGGGCUGCGGAAGAUACUAUAGAGCUAGGAGGCGGGAGAGGCAAGCGGUACUCGAUGGGUAGGGGUAAAAUCCGUUGAUCCAUUGAAGACCACCAGUGGCGAAGGCGGCUUGCCAGAAUGCGCUCGACGGUGAGGGAUGAAAGCUGGGGGAGCAAACCGG
rnacentral:rRNA from 1 species